UAGGUAUUAUUUGCCUCAUGCAAACAAGAAGCUCAUCAGAAAACGCUGGUCAUUGAGACGUUUUAAGUAAAUAUCAAGUAAUAUAUCUAAACCAGAUGUGGGUUAAGCUACUCGGCUAGAGUAAUGAGUUCGCCUCCUUGCACCCAAAUUUGAGCAUGAUGAACAUAUAUAUCAGGUGAUAAAACAAAAGGGUACAUCAGUAAUUUGGCUUUUUUUUGGGCAUAUAUUAUACUAUAUUGUUAAUCUGGUCCUUUAACAUAACCAGUGUUUGACGUAACAUGAACACUCAAAUCUAAGUCUAGGACCAUCAGAGGGAGCAGCAGCUGAGCAAGCAAAAGAGUAUGGCUAGAUUUAAGGAUGUCAUGUCGACAGCCAUGGCCGUAAUAUUUCUGAGGAAGAGCAUUUACGUGUACGAGGAAUUCGGGGUUUUGUUAAUAGACUUCGUUUCUGUUGUAACAUCCACCAUCCAAGUUUCUGGUUUUGUUUUCCACAGAAGUACAAGGGUCUCUAAUUCUACAGGCAGGACCUCUCCCAUGUCUUCUAUGUUAGCUCGACCCGAUCGGUAGCUACAAUUCUCAUCAAAAUUUUAAUUCGUGAGUUUUUCAACUGUAAGUGGAUCAAUAUUUUCCAUUUUGGUGUUGGAGCUGUGAGCUUCGUUUAUUUUGAAGUUUUAGAUUCAAAUGUUAUUAUUAUCAGUUCGUUUUUGGCACACAGCUGAAAUAUGAAUAUUUAUUUGGGUUGGAUUGCAUUGCAUGCAUUAAUUUUUGUUUCCAUAUUUACUGCUUCAUGAACUUUUAGAAUGCUUCGUCCAAUGCAAUGGCCUGUAAAUUGAAACUUCGCUUUCUCCCCAUUUCUUUUCAAGUGGUCUAAUUUUUCUGGCAUGAAUUGCUGGUAUAUUCCCUUUGCCGCUUCAAAGAUUCCUACGUGAACAAGUACAUUUGCCCCCUACACAAGGAUAUUAUUAGCUAGGCAUAGUUUAUCCGUGCCUAAUUUCUUAUUUUCUUCCCUUUCAAGACAAGGGUUAUGCAUCUAAUAAGACUAAUCUCUAUGCUUUACCUCAAAUUUGGGGUUCGAAUAAGAGGUAUGCCUGCCAAGAUGGAUGGGAGUCUAGUCCCUUCAAGUCAAGAACAAUCAAUUUGCAUGUCAUCCAUUCACCAUUCCCUUUGCACAAUUAUCUUCCUGGAUGAAAAACAGAAAGAGUAAUGUGCCAUGUGAACUCUGGCAUACAAAGGCAGAUUAGUUAAUGACUCAUUAUAAAUUACCUGAACCACAAAGCAACAGUAAAAGUACAAUAGUCAUCACAAAUAUAUCAUUGAACAAACUUACGGCAAUGGACUUUUAUAGAACACCAUAGUCAGCUACUUGCUCCUUGUUUGCAACGGAAACAUAGGCAGGACCUCUCCCAUGUCUUCUAUGUUAGCUCGACC
rnacentral:lncRNA from 1 species